rnacentral:rRNA from 1 species
AUAACGGUCCUAAGGUAGCGAAAUUCCUUGUCAGGUAAGUUCUGACCCGCACGAAAGGCGUAACGAUUUGGGCGCUGUCUCAGCUGUAGACUCGGUGAAGUCUUAGUACCUGUGAAGAUGCAGGUUACCCGCGACUAGACGGAAAGACCCCAUGGAGCUUUACUGUAGCUUGAUAUUGGACUUUGAUGCAAGAUGUACAGGAUAGGUAGGAGACUGAGAGACAUGCACGCCAGUGUGUGAGGAGUCAAUGUUGGGAUACUACUCUUCUUGUAUUGGAGUUCUAACCGGAUGCCAUGGAACUGGCAACGGGACAGUGUCAGGUGGGCAGUUUGACUGGGGCGGUCGCCUCCCAAAGAGUAACGGAGGCGCCCAAAGAUACCCUCAGCUUGGAUGGAAAUCAAGCGCAGAGUGCAAAGGCAUAAGGGUGUUUGACUGCGAGACCUACAAGUCGAGCAGGGACGAAAGUCGGGCUUAGUGAUCCGGCGGUGCUGAAUGGAAAGGCCGUCGCUCAACGGAUAAAAGCUACCCUGGGGAUAACAGGCUGAUCUCCCCCAAGAGUUCACAUCGACGGGGAGGUUUGGCACCUCGAUGUCGGCUCAUCGCAUCCUGGAGCUGUAGCAGGUUCCAAGGGUUGGGCUGUUCGCCCAUUAAAGCGGUACGCGAGCUGGGUUCAGAACGUCGUGAGACAGUUCGGUCCCUAUCUGUCGUGGGCGUAGGAAGUUUGAGAAGAUCUGUCCUCAGUACGAGAGGACCGGGAUGGACAUAUCAAUGGUGCACCAGUUGUCACGCCAGUGGCACAGCUGGGUAGCUAAAUAUGGAAGGGAUAAACGCUGAAGGCAUCUAAGUGUGAAACCCACUUCAAGAUGAGACUUCCCAUUACGCAAGUAAGUAAGACCCCUUAAAGACGAUAAGGUUGAUAGGUCAGGAGUGUAAGCAUGGCGACAUGUUCAGCGGACUGAUACUAAUAGGUCGAGGACUUAACCUA